rnacentral:rRNA from 1 species
GACGAACGCUGGCGGCGUGCUUAACACAUGCAAGUCGAACGGAAAGGCCCUGCUUUUGUGGGGUGCUCGAGUGGCGAACGGGUGAGUAACACGUGAGUAACCUGCCCUUGACUUUGGGAUAACUUCAGGGAACUGGGGCUAAUACCAGAUAGGAGCUCCUGCUGCAUGGUGGGGGUUGGAAAGUUUCGGCGGUUGGGGAUGGACUCGCGGCUUAUCAGCUUGUUGGUGGGGUAGUGGCUUACCAAGGCUUUGACGGGUAGCCGGCCUGAGAGGGUGACCGGCCACAUUGGGACUGAGAUACGGCCCAGACUCCUACGGGAGGCAGCAGUGGGGAAUAUUGCACAAUGGGCGGAAGCCUGAUGCAGCAACGCCGCGUGCGGGAUGACGGCCUUCGGGUUGUAAACCGCUUUCGCCUGUGACGAAGCGUGAGUGACGGUAAUGGGUAAAGAAGCACCGGCUAACUACGUGCCAGCAGCCGCGGUGAUACGUAGGGUGCGAGCGUUGUCCGGAUUUAUUGGGCGUAAAGGGCUCGUAGGUGGUUGAUCGCGUCGGAAGUGUAAUCUUGGGGCUUAACCCUGAGCGUGCUUUCGAUACGGGUUGACUUGAGGAAGGUAGGGGAGAAUGGAAUUCCUGGUGGAGCGGUGGAAUGCGCAGAUAUCAGGAGGAACACCAGUGGCGAAGGCGGUUCUCUGGGCCUUUCCUGACGCUGAGGAGCGAAAGCGUGGGGAGCGAACAGGCUUAGAUACCCUGGUAGUCCACGCUGUAAACGGUGGGUACUAGGUGUGGGGUCCAUUCCACGGGUUCCGUGCCGUAGCUAACGCUUUAAGUACCCCGCCUGGGGAGUACGGCCGCAAGGCUAAAACUCAAAGGAAUUGACGGGGCCCCGCACAAGCGGCGGAGCAUGCGGAUUAAUUCGAUGCAACGCGUAGAACCUUACCUGGGUUUGACAUGGAUCGGGAGUGCUCAGAGAUGGGUGUGCCUCUUUUGGGGUCGGUUCACAGGUGGUGCAUGGCUGUCGUCAGCUCGUGUCGUGAGAUGUUGGGUUAAGUCCCGCAACGAGCGCAACCCUUGUUCACUGUUGCCAGCACGUUAUGGUGGGGACUCAGUGGAGACCGCCGGGGUCAACUCGGAGGAAGGUGGGGAUGACGUCAAGUCAUCAUGCCCCUUAUGUCCAGGGCUUCACGCAUGCUACAAUGGCUGGUACAGAGAGUGGCGAGCCUGUGAGGGUGAGCGAAUCUCGGAAAGCCGGUCUCAGUUCGGAUUGGGGUCUGCAACUCGACCUCAUGAAGUCGGAGUCGCUAGUAAUCGCAGAUCAGCAACGCUGCGGUGAAUACGUUCCCGGG